rnacentral:sRNA from 1 species
UUGUUUGUAUCACACUGGAUUGGAUUGACAACCUAAAAUACUACAACGACAGGAUAGUGUUUUAGGAUUAAUUGAGUAAAAAUCCUACUAUCAAUUUGGCACCGUUGCCAGUUUGGUGUUUGUUUGCUAUAUUUGAGAUCAUUAGAAACGUUAAGAUCAAGUUCGCUUUUGUUACACAAAUUACUAACAUUGUGCCUUUUUUGUCGUUGUGUUUUAGGUACCUUGCAACCCGCUUUACAGACGCAUCAACAAACUCCUCCAAGUGCAGCAGAAGCAUGUUGACUUUGCCUCUGAAGAAGUAUUCCAAAUCCAAGAGGGGGUGAAUGAUCAGUGCGCUGUGAUAAGUGUGUAUUUUGCAUGUUUUGAGCAUCCAUUUGUCAUCACUUUAGCAUCAUAUCAUCACUGUUUUAUACCAUUUCUCAUCAUUUGUCAUCACUUUGCAUGUUUAGGAUAUGUUUGCAUGCAUGUUGCA